rnacentral:lncRNA from 1 species
GUGCAGGCAUCCCCUGCACAACCAAAUCAGCCCAUUGCACAGCCCUGUCAAUCCUUCUGUCCCAACCUCUUUCGGAGCUUCCUCCCCUCUCCAUCCCCACAGCCCUCCCUGUAUCACGAAACAGGUUCUCACCUGCUCCUGCUGCUUUCUCACUCCUGAUCCAGCCUCUUCAUUGAGCCACAGGUGUCUCUGUCUAAGAAAACCUCAUACCUCCCCACUACAUGAUCCCUUCAAUGGCUCCCCACUGCCUUUGGGUUAAAGAUCUGAGUGUUCACCCUCACCUACAAGCACUUUGGGAAGUGGUUCCUGCCCCUAUCUACACUCAUCCCUCAAAUCCCCAGCCAUCUCCAGGUGCCACCCUCAUGUCCUCCUUCCUCUCCAUCCAGAAUUAGUUAUGCUGCACAAAGUGCAGGUCUAAACCCCAGGCCUUUAACAGUGCUGUUCCCUCUUCCCUGCAUUUUCCCUGUUGAUUAAACCCCUGCUUAGCUUUCCAGACCUGGAUCAGAUGUCUGCCCUUUCCUGAGUCCCUCUUACCCCAGAAUUAUGCAUCCAUCCUUGGCAUUCCCAGCUCCCUUCGUGGAAGGAGGAUGAGGGGUGCAGAUCUUGUGGGCCAGCCCCUACAGCUCAUUCUACCUUCCAGUCGGACUGCAUCUUCCUGGUGUGACAGGGAGAACUUGUGGUGUGCUGACAAUGAGGAGUGGCUGACUCCAAGACCCCUGGCCUGUCCUGGCUCAUCAAGGCCUUUCCUCAUCCUCAAGGGGAAUGGGAAAAUAGCUGGUUUAUCCUUGCAUCAUCAGAAAUUAGGCUAAGCCUGGAACAAAGUGUGUGAGUAAAUAUUAAUUGGAUAACUGAGAAAAAUAAUCAGGAAGAUAAAGAACAGACAAAAGAUGAAAGAGAGUCAGCAGGGAGGAUGGAGAAAAGAAAAUUGAGGAUGAAGCUAUACUCAAAGCUCAAAGCAUGCUCCUAAAGGACCCAUGAAGAUACCCAUUUUAGAGAUGUGGAAACUGAGGCCCAGAGAAGUCCCGGUAAAUUGCCCCAAAAUAGCACAUCUGUUUGAAUCUGAAACCCAAACCCAUGUCUGUCUAAUUCUUUCAGUUAUUCGAGGUCAUUGUCAUGAACCUCUGCCAAGCCAGGUGCCUCUUCUCUCAUUCCUGUGCAAUUGAGUUUUCCAAUGCUGCUUCUAAUUUGCAAAUACAGUUUUUAUUCCUCAUUAUAAAAGUUGUAUGUGCUCAUUUUAGAGAACCAGGAAACUAGAGAAAAGUAUUUAAAGCAGCAAAUAUAAUUUCUAUUAUUCCCAUCACUCUAGGACAAUCCCUGUUAAAAUUUUAAUAGUUUCUAGCCUUUUCUAUGUGUUUAUAUUUGCUAUAUACAUGUUUAGAUUAGAUUUCUAAUGCCAUUUAAAAUUAUGCUUUUUUCACUUAAGACCACAUCCUCAGCAUUUCUCUACAUCACUAGAAACUCUAACGCUUUUUAACUUUUUUAUUGAGGACUUACUAAGUGUCAAGUCCUGUUCUAAAUGCAGGCUUAUGUUCACAUUUGCUAUACAAGUGCACUAUCACUUACUUGGCUUUGCCUCUAUGGUUAGGCAUUUGAGUGGCUUUGAUUUUUUACUCUAGCAGUAAUUCCAUAAUAAUUUAUUUUUGAGACAGGGUCUCACUGUCUCCCAGGCUAGUGAUCAUGGCUCACUGCAGCCUCAGCCUCCUGGGCUUAGGUGAUCCACCCACCUCAGCCUCCCAAGUAGCUGGGACCACAGGCACACACCACCUUGCCUGGCUAAUUUUUUUAAAAAUUAUUUUUUGUAGAGAUAGGGUUUCACAUGUUGCCCAGGCUGGUCUUGAACUCCUGGGCUCAAGAGAUCCUUCCACCUUGGCCUCCCAAAUUGCUGGGAUUACAGGCAUGAACCACCACGCCUGGCCAACAGACUUUUAUGGGCAAAAAUUUCCACCCAUACUUGGAUAAGCAAUUAAGUUUUAAAAGUUUAAAUAUUGCUAUGGAGGAACUGUGUCAACCCAAAAAAUUUGUAUGUUGAAGGUGUAACCCCAGAUGUGACUAUAUUUGAAGACAGGGCUCUUAGGAGGUCAUUAAGGUUAAAUAGGGUGCCACAAGGGUGGAGUCGUGAUCUUAUGGGACUGGUGUCUUUAUAAGAAGAGGAAAGGG